AUGAUAAUGUGAGAAAAAAGAAUGUAUACAUGUUCGUGUAAAUGGGUCACCUUCUGUACAGUAGAAAAUUUACAGAACACUGUAAACCAGUUAUAAUGGAAAAAUAAAAAUCAUUAUAUAAAAAAGAUGACAGAAGCAAUGUGGUUUGAGUUUGGAGGUGGUCAAGAACCAGAUCACUGUGUGUGUCACAAUUAAAGAGAUCCUAGGAAUAAUGGGGGGUCCAUAAACAAUUAUAAGCAAUUAACUCUUCCUCAGAGAUAUGAGAAGAAUCAAGUGAUCAUGAAACUGAGUUUCUAAUCAUCUGAAUGGUUAAUAGAAGAAUUUGCAACUUCAUUUCAUUUUUAUUUCCUUUCUUUCUUUUUUUCUUUUUUUCUCUUCGUCUUUUUUUUUGGCCUCAACCACAGCAUAUGGAAAUUCCCAGGCUAAGGAUCUAAUUAGAGCUGCAGCUGCCAGCCUACACCACAGCCACAGCAAUGCAGGAUCUGAGCCACAUCUGCAACCUACACCACAGCUCACAGCAAUGCCAGAUCCUUAAUCCACUGAGUUAAUCUCUAACCCAUUGAGUGUGCCCAGGGAUCAAACCCAGGUCUUCAUGGAUAUUAGAAAGAUGCUCUGGCUCAUUGUACUGGUACUUUCUUUAGAAUAAAGUAGAAAUGGUUCAAUCAGGCCAAUAAACUCUCCCAACAUGUAAUUUUCAUCCCUGCCUUGGUGAGUAGUCUUAAAACCUCACGAUUCAUGUUAGAAAGUGAAGGUAAUUAUGCCUAUUGGCAACCACCUGUGGUUUAUCCCUGAUGCAUAAUUACCUAUGUUGUUCCAUUGGCCAGUGUUCUUUGCUUAAGAAAGGCUUCUAUUAGACCUUGGUAAGAAGCAUGAGCUCUCUUUUCUCCCAGCAGUCUUCCUAGGAAAGGAAGCAGUCUAGAUGGUGAACAUCUUGCUGUUCUAGAAUGACCUGCUUAGGGUCAUGUACAGUCCUCAUUCCUCCUUGUAGUAAAUGAUGCCUGUGUUUUCUAUUAGUUUCUCAUAAAUUAUGUCACACUUAGUGGUUUAAGUCAAUGCACACUUACUGCAUCAUAGUUUCCUUGAGUCAGGAUCAGGGCAUGACUUAGCUAGGUUCUCUGCUCAGUGUUUCCUAAGACUGCAAAAGUGUUAGUGAAGCUGCAUUCUUAUCCGGGGCCAAACUCAUGCAAAUUGUUGGCAGAAUUCAAUUACGGUUAUGUUAUUGAGGCACUCAGCUCCGAUAGGUUAUCCCUUGUCCAUAGCAGUUUAUAACAUGGGUGAUUGUUUCAAGAGCAACAGGAAAGUGUCUUGCUUUGAAUCUAUUCUUUUGAGGAAGGCUUGGACUCUCUUUUAAAAGUUAAGCCCUACUCAGGAUAUUUCUUUUGACCAACUCUAAAUCAACUGAGGACCUCACUCACAUCUAAAAAAAAAAAUCCUUUCAUUGUUCACAUCUAAUCUAAUCUAAUCACAGGAGAUUAUUAUACACACAAAUUUUAUUUAUAAUUUUUAUAAUAUUUUAUAAUGUUCCAUUAUACACACAAAUCCCAUACGUAUUCAAGAUGGGGGGAUUAUACAGGUUUUGUACACCAGGAGGUAGGAAUCUUGGGGCCAUCUUAGAAUUUGAGGUAUGUGGGGCACUGUUUAUCAUUUGGAGGAACAAGGGUCGCUGUGGUAGGCCAAAUUCUAAGAAUUUCAUAUGUGGCUCCCAGGUUUAUUGCUUGGGCCACUUGGAGAGUGGAACUGUUCUCUGUUGUAGAGACAGGGGAGCUGCAUGAUUUUCAAAACCCAUUCUAACCCUAAUAUUCUUUGAGAAUUUGAUAAUGUGAUGUAAGAUUGGUUUGCAGAUAUAUUUAGCAGAAAUAAGAAAUAGAAUAUUGGGGAGUUCCUGUUGUGGCACAGAGGAAACAAAUCUGACAAGCAUCUAUGAGGACGCAGGUCUAAUCCCUGGCCUCUCUCAGUGGGUUAACGAUCUGGUGUUGCCAUGAGCUGUGGUGUAGGUCACAAACACAGCUCAGAUCUGGUGUUCCUGUGGCUGUGGCUGGUAGCUAUAGCUCCGAUUUGACCCCUAGCCUGGGAACCUCCAUAUACUGUGGAUGUGGCCCUAAAAAGACCAACAAAGAAAGAAAAAAUAAAAGAAAUAUAAUAUUGAUUUAUUUCACAGGAUAAUUUUAUUAUAUUUUCAAAAAUCAGUGUUUGGAAAUGUAGCCUGUAUAUCUCUGGAUUUCUGAUCCUUUAAUCUCUAAAAGAAAGCAAAAAAAAAUUAAUGGAUAUAUUCUUCACAGUAUAGGAAGGUGAUAUUACACUGACUAACCUUCAAUUCUAAAUACCUUUAGUUACAUUUUUCCCAGAAAUUUGGAUGUGUAGAAAUUAAGAUUUACUCUGAGCCUAAAUAGGUGCCAUACACCUUGCUUGAUAUUGGGGGAAAAUUAAUGCUCCUGAUCUAAAGAAGCUCAGAGGCAAGUUUAGAGACAGACAUACAAGUCAGGGCUUAUGGUUUAGUCUGGUAAAAGACAUAAGACUGGAGUGGUGAAACAAGGGAAAAAACAAGGAACUCUACCUUUGGGGUCAUAAAACGUUUUGCAGAUGAAGACUUCUUUUGAAAUAACCUUAAAAGAUAUGUAGGAAUCUGUCAGAUGGACAAGAUGGAAAAAGGGAAUUGCUGGUCAAUUAAAUGUAGUGGAAUCUCACCUACUGCUAAAUAACAGAUUGUAAACUUCUUAUAAGUAAUAAGCACUCCACUUUAUUUCAUCUAUCACAGCCCCUAUUAUUACUAUACCUCAAAAAUGUGUAAUGGGGAGUUCUCUUUAUGGCUCAGUGGUAAUGAACCCGACCAGUAUCCAUGAGUUUGAUCCCUGGACUCACUUAGUGAGUUAAGGAUCUGCCGUUGCCAUGAACUGCAGUGUAAGUCACAGACACAGCUUGGAUCUGGCAUUACUGUGGCUGUGGCUGUGUGUAGGCCAGCAGCUACAGCUCUGAUUUGAACCCUAGGCUGGGAACGUCCAUUGCCACAGGUGCG
rnacentral:lncRNA from 1 species